UAUGCCUCAUUUGAUUCAAAGCGUCGUCUGAUUGACAAAACGAGCAUGGCCCCGGCUCGUCAAACUUCAGAUAGAAAAUUACUAUUCAUAGGCUAUUGACAGUAUUUUACUUUUUUGGCCUCUAUUUCUCGGUUACGGUCGUACUUCACGUUUAUGAUCUAAUUUAUUCAUCAAUGAGAGCACACACUGCACAGGAACUGUAUGAAGUGCACUAUAUAUAUUAAUAGGAUCAGACGCUCAACUGCCAACUGUUUCCAACUUUAUUUGCAAUACAGGCUGUAUCACAUUGCUCACUCAACUACAGAGUAUCGUAGAAAGUUUUUGGCUAGUCAUCUACUUCAGCACACUACUUCUACUUCACUUCUCUCUCCGUUUACAGACUCAACGUGAAAGUCCCCAACUUUAUUUGCAAUACAGGCUGUAUCACAUUGCUCACUCAACUACAGAGUAUCGUAGAAAGUUUUUGGCUUGUCAUCUA
rnacentral:lncRNA from 1 species